UGGGGAAUUUUGGACAAUGGGCGCAAGCCUGAUCCAGCCAUGCCGCGUGCGGGAAGAAGGCCUUCGGGUUGUAAACCGCUUUUGUCAGGGAAGAAAUCUUCUGAGUUAAUACCUCGGGAGGAUGACGGUACCUGAAGAAUAAGCACCGGCUAACUACGUGCCAGCAGCCGCGGUAAUACGUAGGGUGCAAGCGUUAAUCGGAAUUACUGGGCGUAAAGCGUGCGCAGGCGGUUUUGUAAGACAGAGGUGAAAUCCCCGGGCUCAACCUGGGAACUGCCUUUGUGACUGCAAGGCUUGAGUGCGGCAGAGGGGGGAUGGAAUUCCGCGUGUAGCAGUGAAAUGCGUAGAUAUGCGGAGGAACACCGAUGGCGAAGGCAAUCCCCUGGGCCUGCACUGACGCUCAUGCACGAAAGCGUGGGGAGCAAACAGGAUUAGAUACCCUGGUAGUCCACGCCCUAAAACGAUGUCAACUGGUUGUUGGGAAGGUUCCUUCUCAGUAACGUAGCUAACGCGUGAAGUUGACCGCCUGGGGAGUACGGCCGCAAGGUUGAAACUUAAAUGAAUUGAC
rnacentral:rRNA from 1 species